CCUGAAACUCAGGCAAAAGCAAUCAGCCCUGGAUUCCCAGGUCUCUCCACUCAGUGAUCAGCACUGAACAUAGACCACACCAUGGAUUUGGGGCUGAUGUGGCUUUUCUUUGUUGCUCUUUUAAAAGGUGUCCAGUGUGAAGUGCAGCUGGUGGAGUCUGGGGGUGGCCUGAUACAGCCUGGGGGAUCCCUGAGACUCUCCUGUGCAGCCUCUGGAUUCACAUUCAGUAACUCCUGGAUGAACUGGAUCAGACAAGCUCCUGGGAAGGGGCUGGAAUGGAUUGGAGAAAUUAACAAAGAUAGCAGUUCAAUCAACUAUGCACCAUCUCUGAAGGACCGAUUCACCAUCUCCAGAGACAAUGCCAAGAACACUCUGUACCUGCAAAUGAGCAGUGUGAGAUCUGAGGACACUGCCACUUAUUACUGUGGUAGAUACACAGUGAAAGGACUUAAGUGUAAACACAGACAUAAACCUCACUGUGAGGCUGCUCAGGGCCACCAGGGGGCGCACAGCACACAGAAAACAGGUUCAGCCCAGGAGUUUAUGCAGACCAGUUAG